AGGCCAGUCCCUGAGUAGGAAUGGACAACAAGGUGGUCACCAUGCUGACAGCUAUUCCCUGUGUGAUUUACUUUAUUAUGAAGUCUAAAUUUGAUGCUGAAGUGCUAGCCUAAGCUCACUAACCUGCCAACUUAGAGAAGAAGGUAACCAUGGCUAGGAUGACUGGGAAUCUGAUGGACUCAAUUAAGAAUUUCUACAGAUGGGAAAACCAAAACUCCUUAGUGGCAAGAGGCCAAAGAUGGUCAGCGAAUUGUUGUUUCCGGCUGUUGGAAGUUGACUGCAGUUGAAUAACAGAACAAAAACGGAGCUUCAAAAUCAUGGCGUGCCUGCUUCUUCUGGGUUCUUUUAACUGCAAGCAAUCAGCUUUGAAGAGCACGUAGGGAACUUCUGAUGUGAUACAAACUUUUGUCUUUUUUUUUUUUUUUGUCUUUUAAGAGCAUUCAAAAACACUUGGUCUGGCUGUUUCAAUUUU
rnacentral:lncRNA from 1 species